AAAAACCUUUUAGUCUUCGUCCACUUUCAACUUCAUAUUGGUACGUAUACACAUCUGUUUCUCUAUAUUACAAUACAUUUUUUUUUCUUUUUUAGGUAUUGUUCAUCGAAAAAUGUAAUUGUUAUUGGAUUGUUGGUGAGUAUAAGUAGGAGGAUGUCCUCCCGAGUUCAAUUCUCACGUUAAAAGGGACUAUUCUCCAAAAAAACGUACUUACCUGUUCUACUCACGAAGCUUUGCAAUUAACAAAAAAAAAUAAAACUUGAAUAUUUUGCUUUAGUGAAAAACUAUCGACGACCAAAAAUCCUUUUAGUCUUCUUUCACUUUCACCUUUAUAGUGACAACGCAUAUAUAUCUUUCUCUAUAUUACAAAACAAUUUUGUCCUUUUGGCUCUUUUCGUUUAUAUUUGGUGCUGAAACAAUGCUCAAGUAAAUCACUUUUCAACUUUCUGCCUAUCAAAACUGACUAUUAUAUACUACUUUUUUUCCUCUUUGUUGAUCUUAGUCUUAAUUAGGCUAAUUUCUAGGCUUUGACUUUCGAGUUUCUAAUUGAUACUUGCUCGAUGACCCUCACAUUCUCUACAAAACGACACCAAAUGAAAGUUAACAAAAAAUAUAAUUUAAAAAUACAUCUUAUAAUUAAUAUCACCUUUUGUCAUUUAUUCUUGCUCAAAGUUCAAUGUUACAAGGAAAACAAAAAGAAAAUUUUCUGGUCAUAAAUUCAACUAAUUAAAAUAGUAACUUCAAGUUUUCUUGAUUAUGAAUCUAGCUUCAAGGCCAAUUCAGCUGUUCCCAUUCCCAGAUUGGUUCUGUUAAACCACCAACCAUCUCUGUACUCACAAAGAGAUCAACAUGUUCUCCUCCUGAAAUCGAAGUUUCUGGUGAGCUUUCCACACGAAAUGAUGUCUCCGCAACUGCAACAUCACUUGUAAGCAUUCUCUCUGUCUGAAAAACUCCCACAGGGCGUCUAUCAAAAGCUCUUGAGCUUCCUGAUGUUAUGUAUACACGACAUAAACUGAAUUCAUGUCUCAACUAAAUGUUCAAGAAAAAAAAAAAAAUAUAUCAUCAGUUAAAAACUUCGUUCAAUUAAGGAUCUUUGAAAAGAUCAAGAAAAAGCUUUUUUAUAUAUGCAAAUGCAACCUUGGGGAUUGUGGACACGUUGACUGUUUCGUCCACGGCUUUGUACUCAUUCAUCUUCCAUUUUGUUUUUCUUCCUGUUGGUGCUUUGCCAGUGUAGAAAACCAUAGUUUUCUUGACUCCAAUCAUUCGGUUAUCUUUGGAAAAUACUGGACCAGGUGAUCCAGUCGCUUUCCAAUAUCCUGAACCAGUGGUUCUGCUCGGUCUGCCUCCUCUUGCUUCACGUUCUUGUCUUGGCACAAAGAAGAACCAUUGUUCAGCAUCCCCUCGACAUCUCUCUCCCGCAACAUCUGCAGAAGAAAAACAAAGCCGCAAAAGAGAGGAUUUGUAAGUUGAAGUUCCAUACACUAAAAAUUAUUUGUAUUAUUCAUACUAGGGGAGUUCAAUGUGGAUAAAUCAAACCGAUUUGAUCUAAACCGAGAAUACCCAAUCUAAAAACCAAAUUGAGUCUUAAUAUCGCUAUAAUUAAUGUUGAUUUUUUUAAGAAAAAUAUUGAUAAAUUUGAUUAAAUCGAACCCAAACCGAAUCAAAAGUGACUAAAACGAUCUUGAAUUGGUUUCACUUUGGUAACUAUUUUUUUCUUUUAAGAAUAUAAAACUGAAAUGUAUAUAACACAUAUACAGCACCAAAAUGGAGAAGUCUACGUGCUAGAAAACCUAAUUCGUAACUGUAAAUGCCCUUAAGCCUUAUGACUCAAGUAACAUGAUGAUCUUGAUCUACAUUUUACGUAAGGAUAUAACGUACUUGGAAGAUGACUUGGCUCGACCUCAAAGACGUCCAGAACGGGAAUGACACGGUGCAUGGAGUCAUCACUUCUUCCUUCGAGCUGGUUUCGUAGGUAGAACGAAAUCAGUUCAUCUUCCGUGGGAUAGAAGCGAAACCCAAGCGUAAGCUCCUCCUCCAUUUUUGUAUAUGAUAGAUAGAUAUUCUACAGAAGAAAACCUCUUGAUUGUAAUUAUAUUAUCACAAAUUGAUUUGCUUUCUUUUAUUUAGAGGUCAUGGACUCACUGGCAUUAAAUAGGUUGUUGAAGUAGAGAUUGGUUUCUCCGAGUGAAAUGAGAAAAGUUCGACGCGUUAUUAGAAUUUGAUAGAAUUAUUUAUUAUACCUGUUAAUUUUUACGGAUAUUUGGAAAGAUAAAAAAAAAUCUGAUGUUUGACAAGGAUGUUUUUGUGUGUGUAAUUACUUUAGUUGUGGUGUGUUUACUGUUAAGUAAGCUUUUACGAGCCACGUACGCCCAUUGAAUGAGUCAAGCCCUUGUCUUGGAGUCAAAUUUCAGUCUCUUAAUUUUCCUUAGUUUUCUUUUCUCUAUCUUUCAUUUCGGCAUGCCAAUUUUAGAAUAUAAUAAGUUCUUUUUUUCUAAGCAAACUUAGAAUCCUCAUACUUUUAGGG
rnacentral:lncRNA from 1 species